CCAACGGUGACAUGGUCACCUUCUUUCACACGAAAACAUGGAGAAAUGUGUGCUGGAAUGUUCGAGUGCCUCUUCUCGUACCUUGAAGAAUCUGAGUCUUACCUUUGAUACUUCUUGACAUAAUGGAGGUAGUCCCGGCGAACAAUAAUGGUCCUAACCAUUUUUGCACUGUGGCAUGUACCAGCAAGAAUACGUCCUCUAAUAGAUACAUCACCGGUGAAAGGGCAUUUCUU
rnacentral:lncRNA from 1 species